CUCACCAUUUCACUAUAAACCACAUUAUUCUUUACAAGUUAUAAUAGACCAAGUAAUUUUAAAAUACAAUAGUGAUAAAAAAAGAAGCUAUUCUAUAAGGAGCCUACCGCCAGGCCCAAAAUCUCCAACCGCACUUCUUUCAAGUUUCACAACCAUUACUAAGGCUUGGGUGCAGCAAAGUUCCCUAAGGGUUCGUUUGAACCCCUGGCCCAUACCAAGCAUCCAAAAUAUUAUAAUUAGACAAGUGCAAGUAUGGAAUUUCCAGCCUUGUGCAUCAAAGUUAGUUGGGUGCUCAGGGCUCCCAAAGCAGUGUUUUUAAGGGGGCAGAACAUAAUUUCUAAGAGUAGUGAGAUUGUGAUAAAGUUUGAGAGAGUUGAAAAUAGUUGAGAGACUGUUAGAGACAGUAGUAGAAAGAAUGGAGAGAGUUUAAGAAAACAGUUGGAAGAGUUGCAAGUGUUCUUUUGAAAUCAUUUAGACUGACCAGUUUUAGAACAACAGAGCAUCACACAAAUAAGGUCAAAGGGAAGGGAACACAUUGAAAGAAAGUAAACAGAAAUGGUUGCAAAACAAGAGUUCAAUUCAUACUAUAUAAAACUCUAAUACACUUAGCCUCAAACAGAGGUUUUACAAGUAGCCAUACAGACAUGGAUGCAUGGUAGUAGUACAAAAGGAAAAAGUAAACAUUCAUUGAGAUAGGGGAGGAAGUAAGGGAGCAUGUUAAGCUGAACCAAAUAGACUAGUAAGUUACAUGCUAGUGACAAAAAGAGCAACAAAACCAUAAGUAAAAGCACACAAAAAACAUUGUGAAAUGCAAAAUUAAUAGAAACAUAUUGUUGUUGAAACUAUAUUUUAAAGGGAUGACAUACCAGUUGCAAGUAAUAGACCACAAUGACAAUAGUGCACAGAGGAACAAGGUGAGCAGAGAGUGUAAGCAGCAGAGAGAAUAACAACACUAUGAGAAUAGCAGCAACAACAAACCCAAGUAAACAAACAAUAGAACUUAGUAGUGUAGAAGUAAUCAACCCAGGCUACUCAAUCUUGGCUUUCAGCAGCGAUUGAGUUUUCAAAUAAGAGAGUAAGAGACCAUAGGAGAGAAAGAGAGACUUCAGAGAUUCCAAAGUUGUGAGAAAUAUGCAGUGUGUAUUGGUGUGUUCAAAAAGAAAGAUGAGGAGUAUUUAUAGUUUUGAAAAGAACAGAGAAUAGAGUAGAGAGUAUAUAUUUAUAGAGAUAGUACCAAAUAGAAUCAAUCAUUGGUCCUAAUUCAAAUUAAUCUGUUGAUGAUUCGAAUGGGAAUACAACUAUAUCAUAUAAGGAAAGAAUCAAUCAGACGACUAAUUACACCAUAGUAAUGUAGUAGGUCUGUAGUAUGUAAUAGAGUCCAAAUACAUAAUACUCGAAUAAGGAAAACAUAUACUGAAUAUUGUAAAAAUUAUAUAAGAGCACAAAUAUGGUAAGAAUACAUAAUUUACUCUAAAAUUAGUAAAAAAAUGAUGGACGAGACUAAAAAUUAGAGGAAUUAGUGCUGAUUAUAGAGAGCAUUUCACAAGCAAGGAAAUAAUUCAAGAAAUCAGUGCAAGAACCUUUAAGGAAAACGCAUACAUAUUAGGGAUUCAAAGAGAUGCACAGAAUCAUUCGAAUACCAAUUAGACAUAUAAACACAA
rnacentral:lncRNA from 1 species